rnacentral:misc_RNA from 1 species
CAAAAACAAAGCAAAAUACUUUCUAUAUAACUAUUAAGGAUACAUACUGUAGCAGCCAAUACAUUUGAAUUACAGAAGAAAUGUCUCUGAUGAAGGGAAAUUAUCAAUGGAAUCAUUGUUGGUACAAUUCAAACUCCAGCAACCGAGACAAAAAUGCGGGGAGGGUAACAUUUAAUUAAAAUAUCUAUCUACAAAGAUGCAGUAUACCAAUUCUAAAAUACUAGUACAACAUACUCAAUAUUGAAAAGGGCUCACUGGGAAAAGCAAGAAGAAACCACCCCAAACAAGAAUAUAUGGAUCAAUCGUUUCACAAUUACCUAAUUUUAAGAUCUAUAACCGGAUCCAGAAGCUGGUGGGCCAGGUGGCAACCUGUUAGGGGUGCGACGGCUAGCAGAACUAGAGCGUGAAUUUGUAUCACCAUUUUCAGCAGGUUCAUUGUAACGGCGACUACUGCCACUUGAUCCAUACCUAGA